GUUUCCCUUGCAAGAUUAAUAUGCAAAUGUGUUAAAAUUAUAAAAAAACAAAAACAAAAACAAAAACACGGACAAAACGGAUGAUGAUGAUGAUGAUGGGGACUGUUUAACAUCCAGCAGCAAAAAAGUAUAAAUAUUUAGAACUAGACAUGAUAUGAACCCUGCUGUGUACGUACUAGGCAUAAAGGCUGAGUUUUUUUUAGCGUGCUAGUUCACAAGGGUACAGUCUACAGAAAGACAGUACAAAAUGGAGAUUAUACUAAACGGUUACAAUCAAAAACUCGGAAUCUUUACUUUUUCCCCAUGGUCGAAUCAUUCUAAAGAUGUAUCAAAUUUUAUUUUAAUUUUCAUGUUAAACAUUGAUUGAGAUGAUUUGUAGUGACAUAAUUAUAACAACUCCAAUGAUAAAGUAUAAAAAGGGCGAUAACUUAAACGUUCUUUUUCAAAUUGACAGCAGACAUGAAUAAAUGUACAACUGUGAUGAACAUGGAUCACCUGUUUUAUUUUACUAGGGUUCAUCUUAUUUCUUUUAUCAAGCUGAAACAUUGUUAUACGAACUCGUUAUGUUUGAAAGUUGAACAGUUGUCUACUUUCGGUUUUGUUUUGUUUACAUUGCUAUGGAUAUUUAUAAUAUUUAGAAUCAGUAACGGACCGGUCGUGGUUAGCAUACCCGGAAAUAUUCCGAUCGGUAGUCGUAAACAUAAGGGCCGUCAUUCAAACGUUUUAGCAUAAAGGGUUAGGUAAUUAUAAACACUCAUAUGAAUAAGACAUAUGGUAUCGUCCAAAUUAAAUGGUAUGGUCCAAAACCUUAGUAAAUAAGCUGAUGUGCUGUCAGAACAAGGGUCGCUUGAUGGAUAAUCCAGACGCCUUAAAGAAG
rnacentral:lncRNA from 1 species